GGGGAUGCGUGGUUUCGACAGGGGAUUAGUUUGGAAGGAUUGCAGGUCGAGUUUGUCGCACACUCGUAAAUCACGCGGCAAAACAUUAAAUGCCGACGAACAAGUCGCUCUAGCUGCGUAAAUAACGCAACUACGUCUCGUGGACUAACCUCGACGGUCUAUGAAGGCGAUAUAUAGCCGAGGUGCAGUGGUUCUGUUGCCGCUGUGAACCACUUAAGAUUUGGCGGCAGGUAUUUAGGCAACCCGCCGGUGGGUUCGCCUGAUGUACCAUAUAAACACCGGAUAAACCUGUAGUAUAUCUGUACUAAACGUCUCUUGGACGGGGAGUUCGACCCUCCCCCAUCUCCACCA
rnacentral:tmRNA from 2 species